rnacentral:lncRNA from 1 species
GGACUGGCACACAGCAAUUAAUGCACAAUAUAGCUUGCUCGGAGUCACCAAAUUUAUUCAUGCCAAAUGUGUGUAUGAUACAUCCUGGGAAAACAUAUCACAAGAUGCAAACCUGCUCAGCCAUGUUCUUAGCUUAUGCUUCACAGAGGAUGUGCAUAUUGCUCUGAUUGGGAUUUUACAUUAGGAACUGGUGUCUGUGUCCCGGUCUCCCAACAUAUCAGAAGAGGAGUAGCAGUCCUAUUGGAAAUAAGAGGGUGAUCAGUAGACUUCAUACAUUCGUACACUAGACCUUUAAUUCGAGGGUGUUUGUGCCACGCCCUCUACCUGGCUUCCAUGUCCGUUCAACCCAGUGAGGGACAGUGAAAUGAGUGAUAGGUGCCGUGAUGAUGGUGCAUUCGGGCUCCCAUGGAAACAGUGGGCAGGGGCACACAACAAACUCAGUUCCAGGAAAAGUGCCGGUUACAGGGGCAUGGGGCAUCGCAGGCAGUGGGAACCGCAUGUGCAAAAGCAUGCCGGUGAGACAGAUCCUCAGCCAAGCACCCUAAGGGAAAAACAACAUAAUUAUUGUGUUCUGUCACUAGCUGCUUUGUGUACACUUGACAGUUUUGGACUGACCUCUGACAAAUAAAAGUUCACUGUGUACCGACCUUUACCAGCUAUUAAAUAUUUAAAAACAUAAAGAGAACAUGAAGUUCCUUGAUCUUAAGAAACAGCUGUUGCUCUACAAUUUUCUGCUCAAAUGUGUAUUAUCAUAUAUAAAUAUAGUCAUUUUUCUUCUGUGACUGAUUACCUUAUUUGGUUUGAGACGAAAUCCAGACUUGGAUGUAUGGGCUAGAUAUUUUUGAAGGAUGGCACUUUGGGGAUUUGACACCCUAAUAAUGCUUUUAAAGGAUCAAACUUUUUUAACCACUGAAUUCUCUGCAAAUAUUUAUUUCCAGGACUAGUGUACUUGAAUUUCAAAAAUUAAAGAGAGAACCUUCGAGGACCAGAAACAUCCACAUACACAGCUGACUGUGCGCAGGCCCUGGUGUGCUAUCUUCUCAGACGUGCCUCCACUAUUGGGUUGUGACCACUAACAUGAGUUUGCUAUUCCAGGAAAUUUCUGCCUAGGAAGAAAAAUUGAAAAUAUUUUCAUUAUUUGUUCCAGGAACUUCUUAACAAUACAUUUAUCUGAACGGGAACUACUCAAGCUACUCUCAGGGUAAAUACUCAUCUCAGAACAACAGCCAGCCUGAAAUGACUGUUUUCU